rnacentral:rRNA from 1 species
AUUGAACGCUGGCGGCAGGCUUAACACAUGCAAGUCGAGCGAGCGGCGGACGGGUGAGUAAUGUCUGGGAAACUGCCUGAUGGAGGGGGAUAACUACUGGAAACGGUAGCUAAUACCGCAUACCAUCAGAUGUGCCCAGAUGGGAUUAGCUAGUAGGUGGGGUAAUGGCUCACCUAGUAGACGAUCCCUAGCUGGUCUGAGAGGAUGACCAGCCACACUGGAAAUGAGCCACUGUCCGUACUCCUACGGGAGGCAGCAGUGGGGAAUAUUGCACAAGGGGCGCAAGACUGAUGCAGCCAGGACGCGUGUGUGAAGAAGGCCUUCGGGUUGUAAAGCACUUUCAGCGAGGAGGCGUUACUCGCAGAAGAAGCACCGGCUAACUCCGUGCCAGCCGCCGCGGUAAUUC